GAGGGUGUAGCUCAGGGUAGAGUGCAUGCUUAUCAUGCAUGAGGUCCUGAGUUUAAUUCCCAGUACCUCCA
rnacentral:tRNA from 1 species